rnacentral:misc_RNA from 1 species
GAUGAAGAACGCAGCGAAAUGCGAUAAGUAGUGUGAAUUGCAGAAUUCAGUGAAUCAUCGAAUCUUUGAACGCACAUUGCGCCCCUUGGUAUCCCGAGGGGCAUGCCUGUUCGAGCGUCAUUUCACCACUCAAGCCUGGCUUGGUGUUGGGCGACGUCCCCUUUGGGGACGCGCCUCGAAACGCUCGGCGGCGUGGCACCGGCUUUAAGCAUAGCAGAAUCUUUCGCUUUGGAAGUCGGGGCCCCGUCUGCCGGAAGACCUACUCGCAAGGUUGACCUCGGAUCAGGCAGGGAUACCCGCUGAACUUAAGCAUAUCAAUAAGCGGAGGA